AGAGUUUGAUCCUGGCUCAGGACGAACGCUGGCGGCGUGCCUAAUACAUGCAAGUCGAGCGGGCCGAACGAGAGCUUGCUCUUGUUUGGUCAGCGGCGGACGGGUGAGUAACACGUGGGCAACCUGCCCGCAAGACCGGAAUAACUCCGGGAAACCGGAGCUAAUACCGGAUAACACCAAAGACCGCAUGGUCUUUGGUUGAAAGGCGGCUUCGGCUGUCACUUGCGGAUGGGCCCGCGGCGCAUUAGCUAGUUGGUGAGGUAACGGCUCGCCAAGGCAACGAUGCGUAGCCGGCCUGAGAGGGUGACCGGCCACACUGGGACUGAGACACGGCCCAGACUCCUACGGGAGGCAGCAGUAGGGAAUCUUCCGCAAUGGACGAAAGUCUGACGGAGCGACGCCGCGUGAGCGAAGAAGGCCUUCGGGUCGUAAAGCUCUGUUGUGAGGGACGAAGGAGCGCCGUUUGAAUAAGGCGGCGCGGUGACGGUACCUCACGAGAAAGCCCCGGCUAACUACGUGCCAGCAGCCGCGGUAAUACGUAGGGGGCGAGCGUUGUCCGGAAUUAUUGGGCGUAAAGCGCGCGCAGGCGGUCCUUUAAGUCUGAUGUGAAAGCCCACGGCUCAACUGUGGAGGGUCAUUGGAAACUGGGGGACUUGAGUGCAGGAGAGGAGAGCGGAAUUCCACGUGUAGCGGUGAAAUGCGUAGAGAUGUGGAGGAACACCAGUGGCGAAGGCGGCUCUCUGGCCUGCAACUGACGCUGAGGCGCGAAAGCGUGGGGAGCAAACAGGAUUAGAUACCCCUGGUAGUCCACGCCGUAAACGAUGAGUGCUAAGUGUUAGAGGGGUCACACCCUUUAGUGCUGCAGCUAACGCGAUAAGCA
rnacentral:rRNA from 1 species